GAACGGCAGCACGGGAGCAAUCCUGGUGGCGAGUGGCGAACGGGUGAGUAAUAUAUCGGAACGUGCCCAGUCGUGGGGGAUAACGUAACGAAAGCUACGCUAAUACCGCAUACGAUCUAUGGAUGAAAGCGGGGGAUCGCAAGACCUCGCGCGAUUGGAGCGGCCGAUAUCAGAUUAGCUAGUUGGUGGGGUAAAAGCCCACCAAGGCGACGAUCUGUAGCUGGUCUGAGAGGACGACCAGCCACACUGGAACUGAGACACGGUCCAGACUCCUACGGGAGGCAGCAGUGGGGAAUUUUGGACAAUGGGCGAAAGCCUGAUCCAGCAAUGCCGCGUGCAGGACGAAGGCCUUCGGGUUGUAAACUGCUUUUGUACGGAACGAAACGGUCUCUUUUAAUACAGGGGGCUAAUGACGGUACCGUAAGAAUAAGCACCGGCUAACUACGUGCCAGCAGCCACGGUAAUACGUAGGGUGCAAGCGUUAAUCGGAAUUACUGGGCGUAAAGCGUGCGCAGGCGGUUAUAUAAGACAGAUGUGAAAUCCCCGGGCUCAACCUGGGACCUGCAUUUGUGACUGUAUAGCUAGAGUACGGUAGAGGGGGAUGGAAUUCCGCGUGUAGCAGUGAAAUGCGUAGAUAUGCGGAGGAACACCGAUGGCGAAGGCAAUCCCCUGGACCUGUACUGACGCUCAUGCACGA
rnacentral:rRNA from 1 species